CCUACGGGAGGCAGCAGUGAGGAAUAUUGGUCAAUGGACGAAAGUCUGAACCAGCCACGCCGCGUGCAGGAAGACGGCUCUAUGAAUUGUAAACUGCUUUUGUACGAGGGUAAACGCAGAUACGCGUACCUGUCUGGAAGUAUCGUACGAAUAAGGAUCGGCUAACUCCGUGCCAGCAGCCGCGGUAAUACGGAGGAUUCAAGCGUUAUCCGGAUUUAUUGGGUUUAAAGGGUGCGUAGGCGGUCGGAUAAGUUAGAGGUGAAAUCCCGAGGCUCAACUUCGGAAUUGCCUCUGAUACUGUUCGGCUAGAGAGUAGUAGAGGUAGGCGGAAUGUAUGGUGUAGCGGUGAAAUGCUUAGAGAUCAUACAGAACACCGAUUGCGAAGGCAGCUUACCGGGCUACAACUGACGUUGAGGCACGAAAGCGUGGGGAGCGAACAGGAUUAGAUACCCCAGUAGUC
rnacentral:rRNA from 1 species